rnacentral:rRNA from 1 species
GUGGGGAAUAUUGGACAAUGGGCGAAAGCCUGAUCCAGCAAUGCCGCGUGUGUGAAGAAGGUCUUCGGAUUGUAAAGCACUUUCGACGGGGACGAUGAUGACGGUACCCGUAGAAGAAGCCCCGGCUAACUUCGUGCCAGCAGCCGCGGUAAUACGAAGGGGGCUAGCGUUGCUCGGAAUGACUGGGCGUAAAGGGCGCGUAGGCGGUUGAUGCAGUCAGAUGUGAAAUCCCCGGGCUUAACCUGGGAACUGCAUUUGAGACGCAUUGACUAGAGGUCGAGAGAGGGUUGUGGAAUUCCCAGUGUAGAGGUGAAAUUCGUAGAUAUUGGGAAGAACACCGGUGGCGAAGGCGGCAACCUGGCUCGAUACUGACGCUGAGGCGCGAAAGCGUGGGGAGCAAACAGGAUUAGAAACCCUAGUAGUCCC